ACGGAGGGUGCAAGCGUUAAUCGGAAUUACUGGGCGUAAAGCGCACGCAGGCGGUUUGUUAAGUCAGAUGUGAAAUCCCCGGGCUCAACCUGGGAACUGCAUCUGAUACUGGCAAGCUUGAGUCUCGUAGAGGGGGGUAGAAUUCCAGGUGGGCCGGCGAAAUGAGUAGAGAUGUGGAGGAAUACCGAUGGCGAAGGCAGCCACCUGGAAUAAAACUGACGCUCGUGCGCCAAAGCGUGUGAAGCAAACAU
rnacentral:rRNA from 1 species